GCUCGCUCUAAAUAGACAUGAACGAGCAUCGCUCAAAACAGUGAGGCGACACACGUCAGCUAAAACCACAAUAUCACUCUAUAUUUCACCUGCUUGGCAGUAAUGUUAUAGCAGACCAAAUAAAGGUCUCUCCAAGAAUCAUGAUUCAGAUCUGAUCA